AGGUAAUUGGCCCUAUUUGCAUAGUUAAUUGACAUAUGAAGAAGCAGUACUUUAGAGGUCAAUAAACUGCAAGAGCACACAAGCUCAGAAUUAGAGCAAAAUUUUAAAGCAUUUUUAUAUUCAUGGGUUAUGCAUGGUACUUCAGCUGUAUGCUCGGUGCCCUUGAUUUACAGAAAACCUAUAUUGGCUCAGCUGGGACUAUCAGGAUGCACAGCCAAUGGGACCCCUAAGAUUGUGACUUCAUGACCACACCCCUGUCUUGUCCCUCCCUCUAAGUAAAAGAGCAGAUGAGACCAAGUCUAAGGAUCAGGAGCUUACUGAGCAUCUCAAAAGAACCCUCUCCACACAUGAACAUUUACACUGAUGUACAGCAUACGUGGCAGAUUUGAGUACCCAAAGGGAAGUCAAAGGCACAAAGCACAGGCCCUGGCACCCUUCCCUGAGCAACUGUACAGCUCAGGGGUCAAUACAGAUACCAUAUAAAGACCUGGGUUGAGUCCAUACUCCACCACUCAUCUUCAAGUCUCAUUCUCCCCAUUAUAUAUGAAUGAUGAGUCCAAGGCCUCAGAGUGCUAUAGAGAAGAUACCACACAGUUAUAUCUGAAAGGUAGGUUAGAAUUUAAAUCAUGUCUGUCUGAGUUGAGAUUCUGACCACUAAUGCCACAUGGGCACCACUGGGAAAAAAGCCAUCCUAGUAACAGAGGGACAAUGACACCGGUCCUAUCCCACCAGAAAUGACAAACAAUACCUGUAUAAAAAGCCUUGUAUGAGCAGCCACAUGCUUUUGUGCUACCAGAUCUUUCUUAUUAACAUAUAAUUCACACACUACAAUGGUC
rnacentral:lncRNA from 1 species